UCAGAAAGUAGAUGGAUCUUCUCUGAUGU
rnacentral:piRNA from 1 species